UGGGGAAUCUUGCACAAUGGGGGCAACCCUGAUGCAGCGACGCCGCGUGAGCGAUGAAGCCCUUCGGGGCGUAAAGCUCUUUCGACCGGAACGAUAAUGACGGUACCGGGAGAAGAAGCUGCGGCUAACUACGUGCCAGCAGCCGCGGUAAUACGUAGGCAGCAAGCGUUGUUCGGAGUUACUGGGCGUAAAGAGUGCGUAGGCGGUUUUCUAAGUUCGGUGUGAAAUCUCCCGGCUUAACUGGGAGGGUGCGCCGAAGACUGGGAAGCGGGAGUGUGGGAAAGGCCGGCGGAGUUCCUGGUGUGGCGGUGAAAUGCGUAGAUAUCAGGAGGAACACCGGCGGUGUAGACGGCUUGCUAGACCAUAACUGGCGCUGAGGCACGAAAGCGUGGGUAGCAAACA
rnacentral:rRNA from 1 species